CUUGCAUUCCAAUAGGGUCUUCGCACCAGUCGGUGCUCGGACCCUAAUAAUUCCUUGCAUUCCACUAGGGUCUUCGCACCAGUCGGUGCUCGGACCCUAACUAGAAACACUGACUUUAACAGUUAAAUGCAAGUCAACUCAAAUCAACUCAACUUUAUUUCUAAAGCGCUUUAAAACAGCAGCCGCUGAAACAGAGUGCUGUACAAUAAACAACGAAAUAAAACAUUAAAACAAUAAAUAAAACAUACACAUAUUAAGACAGCAGCACAAUAAAACAGAAGCAGAGUCUCAUGCUGUGUUAAAAGCCAGUGAAUAAAAAUAGGUUUUAAGUUUGGUUUUCAAAACCGCCAGUGAGGGAGCCUCUCUGAUGUGCAUAGGGAGAUUAUUCCACAAUCUGGGAGCAGCAACAGAGAAGGCUCUAUCUCCUCUGAGCUUCCUCCUAGACCUCGGAACCUCCAGAAGCAGCUGAACAGCUGAUCUGAGGGUUGGUGAGGAGGGAUGAGGAUGGAUGAGGAUGGAGCAGCUCAGAGAGGUAGGGAGGGGCCAGACCAUUUAAGGCUUUAAGAACAAAUAAAAGAACCUUCAAAGCAACCCUAAAGCGCACGGGGAGCCAAUGGAGGGAGGCUAAAACAGGCGUAAUGUGCUCAUAUUUUGGAGGGCAGCAGCAGCAUUCUGAGCCAACUGGAGACGCGCUAGAGCAGACUGGCUAAGAACAAGAACCCCAUCAUCCCCAGAGUCGUUUGCCAGGAGAACAUCAUUAAAAACCCGUAGCAGUGCUGACUCCGUGCUAUGCAGAGUCUGAAAACCAGACUGAAAAACCUCCAGUACGUUGUGCUCAUCUAAAGAGGACUUCAGCUGGGCAUGAACAACUGUCUCUAAAAUUCUGGAAAGAAAGGGCAGCUUGGAGAUUGUUCUGAAGUUAGAUAAAACUGUGGUGUCGAGGCCAGGUUUCUUCAGCAGUGUUUGGACUGCAGCGUGUUUAAAACUAGUGGGGGACCACGCCAGUGGACAGACAGCUGUUAAUGACGGUUAAAACUGACUGCCCAAUACAUGGAAAAACCUCUUUUAAAAAGUGAGGCGGGAUGGAGUCGUGAGGGACCCUUUAUGUGGCCGACAGUGUCUAUGAAAAACGACAGAGUAACGGGCUGAAAUUUAUGGAGCCCAGCCCGGCAGCAGACAGAGGCAGAGGGGUCGACGGCAGGAGCUGAGAUCAGAGCCCUUGUACUAACAACUUUAUCAAUAAAAAACUCCUGAAAGUUGACGCAUAGUUCGAUGGAUGCUUCCUGGCAAACCGGCUUGGGAGCAUUUAAGACUGAGUCAGUGGUAUUAAAUAAAACUCGAGGGUUGUGGCGGUUUGACUCAAUGACUCCAGCUGUGAGCCCUUUUGGCUUCCUUAACCACAGUCUGAUAGUCUCUCCAGCGGUCUUUUAAAAUUAAAAACGACACUUGCAGCUUGUCCUUCUUCCAGCUGCGCUCAGCUCUACCACACUCCCUCAAUGUUAGAUCUGAUUAAUCUCUCUCUAGUAACAGGUUAUGUACCACAGGCUUUUAAGGUUGCUGUAAUCAAACCUUUACUUAAAAAGCCCACUCUAGAUCCAGAUGUUUUAGCCAACUAUAGACCAGUUUCCAACCUCCCAUUUCUCUCCAAAAUUCUGGAAAGAACAGUUGCAAAUCAAUUAUGUGAACAUUUACAAAGGAAUAGCUUGUUUGAAGAGUUUCAGUCAGGCUUCAGAGUGCAUCAUAGCACAGAAACAGCUCUGGUGAAAGUUACUAAUGACCUUCUCAUAGCGUCAGAUAAUGGACUGGUCUCUAUACUUAUUUUAUUGGACCUUAGUGCAGCAUUCGAUACAAUCGACCACAAACUUUUAUUACAGCGACUAGAACAUUCUAUUGGCAUUAAAGGGACAGCACUGGACUGGUUUAAAUCCUACUUAUCAGACAGGUUCCAGUUUGUGCAUGUCAACAAUGACUCUUCUGAGCAUACUAGGGUUAAUCAUGGAGUUCCUCAGGGUUCUGUCUUAGGACCAAUACUGUUCACAUUAUACAUGCUUCCCUUAGGCAACAUUAUUAGGAAGCACUGUAUUAAUUUCCAUUGUUAUGCUGACGACACUCAAUUGUAUUUAUCUAUGAAGCCAAAUGAAACUAAUCAGCUAGCUAGACUGCAAGAUUGUCUUAAGGACAUAAAGACCUGGAUGACCUAUAAUUUCUUACUACUAAAUUCAGACAAGACUGAAGUCAUUGUAUUUGGCCCCAAACAUCUUAGAGAAUUGCUUUCAAAGCAUAUAGUUACUCUGGAUGGCAUUACAUUGGCCUCCAGUACUACUGUGAGGAACCUCGGUGUUAUCUUUGACCAGGACAUGUCCUUUAACUCGCACAUAAAACAAAUCUGUAGGACUUCCUUUUUCCACCUGAGAAAUAUUGUGAAAAUCAGGAACAUCCUGUCUCAGAGUGAUGCAGAAAAACUAGUCCAUGCAUUUGUUACUUCUAGGCUUGACUACUGUAAUUCCUUAUUAUCAGGUUGUCCCAAUAGCUCUCUGAAAUAUCUACAGCUGAUCCAAAAUGCUGCAGCCAGAGUACUGACGGGAGUUAGCAAGAGAGAUCAUAUUUCUCCUAUAUUGGUUUCUCUUCAUUGGCUCCCUGUUAAAUCUAGAAUAGAAUUCAAAAUCCUUCUUCUGACAUAUAAAGCUCUUAACAACCAAUCUCCAUCAUAUCUUAAAGACCUGAUAGUACCAUAUUAUCCUAGCAGAACUCUUCGCUCUCAGACUGCAGGCUUACUUGUUGUUCCUAGAAUCUCUAAAAGUAGAAUGGGAGGCAGAGCCUUCAGUUAUCAGGCGCCUCUCCUGUGGAACCAGCUCCCAGUUUGGGUUCGGGAGGCGGACACCCUCUCUAUUUUUAAGACCAGGCUUAAAACCUUCCUUUUCGACAAAGCUUAUAGUUAGGGCUGACUGGGGGACCCUGACGGGGUAUGCUGGUGUUUUCAUUUGCACAACUGACUUCCCCUCUUGACGUCCCUUUAGUUUGCCCCUAGUUAUGCUGCUAUAGGCCUAGACUGCUGGGGAACCUCUCUUGAUGCACUGAGCCCUUCUCUAACUACCUAUGUAUUUACUACAUAUACCAUUAUUGCAUUACAUUCACUCUGUUUCUUUCUGUGUCCUUUCUCCGAGUGUCCCUGGUCCCAGAGCUGGAUGCUGGAUGCUUCAGAUGUGUGGCUGUGUUUUAUGGUCCUUGUGUCCCACCCCCCCACCUCUCUAUCUCUACCCCUCUAUCUCUACCUCUACCCCUCUAUCUCUACCUUUCUACCUCUUCUGUCCCUCUCAACCCGCCCGGCCAGCAGGCAGAUGGGUCCCCCCACAUUAGAGCCGGGUUCUGCUCGAGGUUUUUUUUCCCUGUUAAAAGGGUGUUUUCCUUGCCACUGUCGCCUUUUGGCUUGCUCUGGGGGUCAGGCAUAUGGGUUCUGUAAAGCGUCUCGAGACAAUUUGACUGUAAUUGGCGCUAUAUAAAUAAAAUUGAAUUGAAAAUUGAAUUGAACUGAGAGCUCUCAGCAGUUUUCUACCCAUUUAAGAACAGGACAAACCGAACAAGCUGUUGUAUCGAUUUGUCCACGAUUUCCUCUCGUGUCCAUUUUAAGGAGUUUGCAGUCAACCAAGGCCGACUCAGAAUCACUCCCACCGGGAAGAUCUGUGAAGGAAGGUCCACCCGGCUGGUCCAGAAGCUCCGGUCCAGCAGAGCAGCGUCAGGAUGGAGACGUAACCGGUGUUGAUGUCACCGCCUUGACGAAUAGAAGAACAGCCUGUAUUUGGGCAACUUCUUGGUUUUCCUGGAACCACCCUUCAACUCCAAUCCACUGACACUCCACACCACAGACCACAACCUUUCCACUCCGCUAUCAUCCUCCGCAAGGUUCCCAGUGGGGAUUCGAACCGUGACCCUCCACAUGACAGACACACAACCUAUGUGUGAGCUAUCUUUCACACAAGGUCCUUCGUGGACUUUGUUAUAAUGAUGGUUGAAAGAGGUUGUCAUACAGCCAAAGUAUGUACAUAUUGUAAAUAAAGCUCCUGUAACAAUUUAAAUUUCCCCUGGAAUGGGGAGAAAUAAAAAACUUUAUCUUAUCUUUAUCUUAUCUUAUAAAGUGUCAAAAGAGCCCUGGGCUGGAUUCGAACCAAAAACCUCCUGGAUGAAAGGCAGAUAACUUACCACUGCGCUAUCCUUCCUACUGGGUGUAACUGUUAGUUUUCCUAAAUGAUGGUACACAAAACUAUUAAGGAGGUGACGAUAAUAAAGGUACUAAGGUGGAUUUCAACCGGGGACCUUCAACAUGCCAGGCAAAAAACUUACCUCUACACCACCUGUCCUACAAGAUGCUGCUCUAACUUUGCUUAAAUGAUGCUAGCAAUUAGUACUGGAGCAUCCAAAGGACACAUAAAAAGUGUGAGUGGGGAUUUGAACCAUGGACCUUCAACAUGUGAGGCACAGAACUUACCUCUGCACCACAUUUCCUACAAGGUGUUGUUGUAAAUUGGCUUAAAUGAUGGCAUCAAUCAGUACUGGAGCAAUCAAAGGACAAAUAAAAGGUGUGAGUGGAGAUUUGAAUCAUGUGAGGUACAGAACUUACAUUGUAGGUUUGUUUCUGAGACUGAAUACACCCAAUCUCAUCUGAUCUGCAAAGCUAAGCAGGGUUGGGCCUGGUUAGUAUUUGGAUGGGAGAUUACCAAGGAAUACCAGUUGCUGUAAGCUUUUUACUUCUCCUCACAACCUGAACAAGACACUGCUGGUCAUUCACUAGAGACAGCUAUCAACUAAAACCUCUUGGUUUCUUUAUUAUACGCUCUAUGAGGUGGAUAAGCUGCAGCUCAUGCUGAUUUAUUGCUGGUUCUGGUUGGAGCCAAAGAACAAAGGCGUCACCUGUUGGAGCAGCUGAUGUCCUGCAGCCUCUUCACCACAGAAAGCCUCUGACAGCUUCAAUUCUUUACACUCUGACUGCAAGACACCAAUCACAUAGGAACAUAUACAUGUGUGGAACAAAGAGCUGAACUGACACUCAACAUGUGUUUGACCAUUUAUUGAUAAAGACAUUCAAACAUGUCUAGAGAUAGAACACCAACGCACGGUGUAAGAAAGGUCAGAACAGACUUCACCUGCUCAGGAAACUGAGGUCCUUCGGGGUGCAGGGAGCAAUUCUGAGGACCUUUUAUGGUUGUGUGGUGGUAUCAGCCAUCCUGUAUGGACUGGUCUGCUGGAGCAGCAGCAUCACGGCUGCAGACAGGAAGAGACUAAAGAAACUGGUUAAUAAAGCAAGCUCUGUCCUGGGCUGGUGUUAGACAGGAGGAUGAUGACAAAGCUGUUGUCUAUCAUGGAGGACAUCUCCCACCCCCUGCAGGAAACAGGACCAUCACCGGCAGCUCCUUCAGGGACAGACUGCUUCACCCACAAUGUCUGAAGGAGGUCCUUCCUUCCUGCAGCAGUCAGACUGUGUUCAAUCAAACCUGCUCCCAGUAGUUCAGAUCACCCAUGAAGUAACUGCAAUAAAAUGUAAAUAAGUCAAUAUGUGCAAUUUCACAAGGUUUUUUUUUUUUUACAAGCAUUUCUAUUUCUUCUCUAAGGAGAAAGCAUCUAUUUAUAUGUGCACUGAGUGCUGCUUUUCUUUUUACUUUUUUCCUAUCUGCUACUGCCACACUGAAAAUUUCCCCACUGCAGAAUCUACCUAUCCAUCCAUCUAUCUAUGGUCCAUCUACCUCCCUACCUAUCUAUCCAUCCAUCCAUCCAUCCAUCCAUCCAUCUCUCUCACGGGUGUGGGGGUUGAUUCACCUGUUCUCAAUCACCUUAAUCCACGAAGGCCCGGUUCUUCAUUCUUCCGCUCUCUGCCAGACCAGAGACUUUGAAACCAGAACCUUUCUCCUACAAUUAGUCUGGUUUCCCCUUUUUGUUUUCACCUUGGUUUAGUUAUCCUUUCUGUGUUGGUUUUAGUUUCAUUCGUUAAAUAAACUCCUUGUAAUCUUUGA